CUGGAGGUUGCAGUGAGCUAAAAUUUCACCCCUGAAUUCCAGCCCGGAUGACAGAGCAAGACUCUGUCCCCCUGCCACACACAAAAAAAAUCAGAAAUGCUUUUCCUACUCUCACAUGCCACCUUGCACAGAAUGCCUCAAUUCUGAUCACCAACAUAAGUGGAUUUCUUCCCAACCACAUCCAAAUCUUGAAUGGACACAAACUGAAUUUCUUGUGGUUUAAUUCACUUCUGACACUGUCUACCUGGAGUUAGAGUCAGAUCUCACAGGUGAAGGGUUGAGUUCCCAGGCCGGUAAGGGCGGCCCCCGACCUCAGAUGCCAGUUGCAAGUGUAAAUUGUCACAUGUUCCUCUGACCAACCAGCUGUGAGUUGGGUUCCCUCAACCCCUUUCUUGGGUUUGAUUGCUUUGCUAGGGUGGCUCACAAAACUCAGUGAAACACCUUCUUAGGUUCAUGAUAAAGAAUGUUUCACAGGACACAGAGGGACAGCCAGAUGAGAAGAUUCACAGAGUGAAGCACUAAAUUCAAAAUGAAUAGUCAUUCUCUGAUAUAACAGUUCCACACAUUAUUGAUAUAAAA